AUAAAACCUUUUUACAGACAAAAGAAGAGAUUCGAAGAAGUUCUCUACAAAUCGAACAAGAAGACAUUGAUUUGAGAUUUUUCAUCAACAAAUUUCUGGCAAUCAGCGACUGAGACGGGAUUCUUAAUUUAUUGAUUUGGGCAUUUCUCACAAAAUCUAUAAUUGGGAGUUCAAUUUUAUUGAUGCUGCUGCUGAAAGUGUAGAUGUGGGUGAUUAUAGAACAUUAACUAUUAGAAUUGAUUAAUUCUUCAUUUUGUGGAAGCUUCAGAGUUGAGGUAAUCUUCUAAUUUACUUUUAAUUAUCUACUUCAAGUCAUCUGUGCUUGCUUUCGUCUAUUAGCUAGCUAGAUUCUUUGUUAGGCACACAGACUUGAAACUGGAUUUUGUUUUUGUGUACAGACAUAACUGAAAAUUUCAUGGAUUUGAAUAAAAUUGGUGAGGCAGACAUAUUUUAUCUUAACUUGAAAUCAAGCCUGUUGCUGAAACUGCUAUACUAUCUAAAAGAUGGAAAUACUUAUGGACAUCUAUUCCCGCUCUUGUUUUUCCCAACUGGAAUCAAUGUUCAUUGUCCGGAACCAAUAUGUUCAUGGAAUUUGUGGAUAGAACAUUGCUUUUUCAUGACACAUCAUCAAAUAUUCAGAAAUUCCAUCUCACUACCAAUAAACUCAUGAGUGCAUCUAGGGUUCAUUCAUGGAUCAAAUAUUUAACCAUGCGUAGUGUCAAAGAGCUUAAUCUCUGGUUAGAUGAACACAAACGUUUUUUGAUUCCUUUAUCACUUUUCACAUGUGAAUCCUUAACUACAUUGGAGAUAACUGCACCCUUAUAUAUGACUAUCCAUCUUCCUACAAGUUUGUCUUUACCAAAACUCAUGAGCCUCACACUUUGUGGAUUCGAAUUUACUGAUGAGCAACACAUUUCUAAUUGCCCUGUUCUUGAAAUUUUGAUUUUGGAUUAUUGCAAUUGGUUUGGAGUGACGAAUUUUUGCAUCUCAACUCCGGCACUGAAACACUUGGAAAUUGAUCCCAACCACAUGGUGGAUGAUGAUGGCUUACAAGACUGUGCUCUCAAAAUUAAUGCACCAAAUCUAGUGUCAUUUACCUAUAAUGGUUGGCUGGCAAAGGAAUAUUUUCUUUCCAGCUUUCAAGCACUAGAAUCUGCAAACAUUUGGCUUUGUGAUGAAUAUGAUGUACCAGGGGGCAACAGGUAGCUGUAAGUAAGUUUUUUCAAGCGCUUGCACAUGUAAAAAGUCUAAUAAUAUGUGCUGUAACCCUAGAGACAAUCUCUGUUGCGGACGACUUCGUAGACAUCCUACCUACAUUUCAUAAUUUGGAUAAGUUGUUCCUAGAACUGGAAGAAACUACUGAUAAAUCAGUAUUUCGACUGCUCAAAGCAGCACCUAAUUUGACUCGUCUCGUAUUUAACGAGCGCAUUCAUGACAAUGUAGAAGGUGAUAAUUGGGAUGGUCUUAAGUUGACGGUAGAAUGUUUGUUUCAACAUCUCCAGUCUGUUUGUUUUAUGUAUUUCGAUGGGAAUGCGAGGGAGAUGAGAUGGUUGAAACUAAUUUUGAAAAAUGCAAAAGCUUUGCAGACAGUUACCAUUGGAAGUUAUGUCAAUCCUGUUAAUGCGAAAAACAAACAAGCACUUAUGUCAGAGUUCCCAAGUCUUCCUAAAGCCUCCCGCACAUGUGUGCUUGAAUUCCACUAAGCUUGCUUAAUGCUGUUUUUAAGCUGGUUAGUUUUCUAGUUCCUGGUAUUUAUUGUCAAAUAGGGUCUCUUUGCUGCAGAUGACUUUGUGAAUAAUCUUUCUAAUGGGAAUGAUGUUGAAAUAAUAUCAUCUCCCAAAACUAGGAAACUUAUCAAGAAUUUCUCGAACUAGAUCAUCUAUUUUUAUGUCCUUGAAUACA